UACGUAGGGGGCGAGCGUUAUCCGGAUUUACUGGGCGUAAAGGGAGCGCAGACGGUGGUGCAAGUCUGAUGUGAAAGGCGGGGGCUCAACCCCGGGACGGCAUUGGAAACUGGGAAACUCGAGUGCAGGAGAGGUAAGCGGAAUUCCAAGUGUAGCGGUGAAAUGCGUAGAUAUAAGGAGGAACACCAGUGGCGAAGGCGGCUUACUGGACGGUAACUGACGUUGAGGCUCGAAAGCGUGGGGAGCAAACA
rnacentral:rRNA from 1 species